UUUAUGGAGAGUUUGAUCCUGGCUCAGGAUGAACGCUGGCGGCGUGCCUAAUACAUGCAAGUCGAGCGAACAGACGAGGAGCUUGCUCCUCUGACGUUAGCGGCGGACGGGUGAGUAACACGUGGAUAACCUACCUAUAAGACUGGGAUAACUUCGGGAAACCGGAGCUAAUACCGGAUAACAUGUUGAACCGCAUGGUUCAACAGUGAAAGACGGUCUUGCUGUCACUUAUAGAUGGAUCCGCGCCGCAUUAGCUAGUUGGUAAGGUAACGGCUUACCAAGGCAACGAUGCGUAGCCGACCUGAGAGGGUGAUCGGCCACACUGGAACUGAGACACGGUCCAGACUCCUACGGGAGGCAGCAGUAGGGAAUCUUCCGCAAUGGGCGAAAGCCUGACGGAGCAACGCCGCGUGAGUGAAGAAGGUCUUCGGAUCGUAAAACUCUGUUAUUAGGGAAGAACAAAUGUGUAAGUAACUAUGCACGUCUUGACGGUACCUAAUCAGAAAGCCACGGCUAACUACGUGCCAGCAGCCGCGGUAAUACGUAGGUGGCAAGCGUU
rnacentral:rRNA from 1 species